GGGGAUUUAGCUUAGUGGCAUAAGCACCUGCCUUACAGCAGCAGUCGUGAGUUCAAUCCCCG
rnacentral:tRNA from 1 species